CCCUUAGAUGUUCUGGGCGGCCCGCGCACUACAAUGGCGUGUGCAGCGAGUGCCGAAGUAGAGUUUUCCGAGGUAUUCUUGCAAUGCUCGUUUUGAUGGGGAUAGACCCUUGCAACUGUUGGUUUUGAACGAGGAAUUCCUUGUAAGCAUGGUUUAUCAUCCGAUGCUGAAUGCGUCCCUGCCCUUUGUACACACCGCCCGUCGCUCCUACCGAUGAGUCGUCCGGUGAAGUUCGUAGACCUCGUGAUCGCGGAUCACUGGGGGAAGCAAAAUGAACCUCGCGGUUUAGAGGAAGGAGAAGUCGUAACA
rnacentral:rRNA from 1 species